rnacentral:rRNA from 1 species
GACGAACGCUGGCGGCGUGCUUAACACAUGCAAGUCGAACGGAAAGGCCCUGCUUUUGUGGGGUGCUCGAGUGGCGAGCGGGUGAGUAACACGUGAGUAUCCUGCCCUGGACUUUGGGAUAACUUCAGAAAACUGCGGCUACUACCGGAUAGGAGCUCCUGAUGCAUGGUGGGGGUUGGAAAGUUUCGGCGGAUGGGGAUGGACUGGCGGCUUAUCAGCUUGUUGGUGGGGUAGUGGCUUACCCAGGCAUUGACGGGUAGCCGGCCUGGGAGGGUGACCGGCCACAUGGGGACUGAGGGACGGCCCAGACUGCUACGGGAGGCAGCAGGGGGGAGUAUGGCACAAUGGGCGGAAGCCUGAUGCGGCAACGCCGCGUGCGGGAUGACGGCCUUCGGGUUGUAAACCGCUGUCGCCUGUGACGAAGCGGGAUUGACGGUAAUGGGUAAAGAAGCACCGGCUAACUACGUG